AUUGAACGCUGGCGGCAUGCCUAACACAUGCAAGUCGAGCGGCAGGCGCGGGGGCGAACCCUGGCGGCGAGCGGCGGACGGGUGAGUAAGGCAUCGGAAUCUGCCCUGAUGUGGGGGAUAACGUAGGGAAACUUACGCUAAUACCGCAUACGACCGAGAGGUGAAAGCGGGGGACCGAAAGGCCUCGCGCAGCAGGAUGAGCCGAUGUCCGAUUAGCUAGUUGGUGGGGUAAAGGCCUACCAAGGCGACGAUCGGUAGCUGGUCUGAGAGGAUGAUCAGCCACACUGGGACUGAGACACGGCCCAGACUCCUACGGGAGGCAGCAGUGGGGAAUAUUGGACAAUGGGGGCAACCCUGAUCCAGCAAUGCCGCGUGUGUGAAGAAGGCCUUCGGGUUGUAAAGCACUUUUAUCGGGAACGAAACACCGUGGGUUAAUACCCUGCGGGACUGACGGUACCCGAGGAAUAAGCACCGGCUAACUCCGUG
rnacentral:rRNA from 1 species